rnacentral:lncRNA from 1 species
GAAACCCUAGCAGCAAUCCUUUUGGAGUUCGAUAAUCACCAACAGGAGACCCCCACCCUUUUGUUGAAGCCUCUUUCCUUAGAGAUCAACUUUGUGUCUAGUAAAUAUUAAUGUUCUGGGACUAACUGAUUAACCUGGAAUACGUGCUAUAACCUUACCGAGCAAAACAAAGGUCGUUAGGUACUUGAAUUGGGAACUUGCUGUCUGGAGUAG